AUGGGGGCGAUGGGUUGCCGUCGGGCCGCGGGGACCGUCGGCUGGCAGUACGUCUUCGAGGAUGAGGAGAACGAGCGCGAGGACGAGGACGCGCCGCUCGUGGAGGAGGAGGGGGCGGACGAGGACUGGGGGGUCGAGAUGGAGAGGAGGGGGACGAAGAGGAAGGGACCGCGCUCGUCGCGGCCGCGCAAGCAGCGGCGCGUCGCCACGCUCUUCGCCUCGCCGGCGUCGUCCGACUCCGGGCCCCCGUCGUCUAGCGCCGUGCCCAAGCGGCGGCGCGUCGCCAAGCUCUGCGCCUCGCCGGAGUCGUCCGACUCCGGGUCCCCGUCGUGGAGCGCCGUGCCCAAGAGGCGGCGCAGCGGAAACGGGGCCAAGAGGGGCCGCCCCGUCGCCGUCCCCGAGGAAACGGAGACGCCGAGCACCAGCGCCGCGGGCCGCGCCAAGGGGAGGAGGUCGUGCCACCAGUGCAAGGCGGCAAUGAAGCAGCAGAUGACCAAGUGUAAGCAAUGCCGCGAGAAGAUUUACUGCGGCCCCUGCAUCGAUGAUAUGUACCCGGAGUUGUCGUUGGCCGAGGUUAGAGUCAGCUGCCCGUCUUGCCGUGGAAUCUGCAAUUGUAAACGGUGCACUGCCAAGGAGCAGGGUGAACCCAAGUCAACCAGGGUUUGUAAUGAGGUGCCACAGACCGAAGCAAAUGAUAACAACUUCCUAAGUUCCAAUGAGAUUAAUAGCACAUCGGUCAUAUUAGACAAGGUAGAUACGUUGGAUGCAAGAGCUGAUGAGAUUGCUCGUGAAACUAAAGUAAAACAUGCUAGAUAUCUGUUGCACUAUCUGGUGCCUUGUUUGAGUGACCUGAACAGGGAUCAGAUGGUUGAGACAAAAAUCGAGGCCAAAAUUCAAGGGUUGGAAUUGUCUGAACUGAGUGUUGAACAGGCUGACUGCCGGAAUGAUGAGAGGAUGUUCUGUGACAAUUGCAGAACUUCGAUCUUUGAUCUGCAUAGAAGCUGUCCAAACUGCUCAUAUGAAUUAUGCAUUGCGUGCUGUAAGGAGCUUCGUGAAAAUAAUCUAAAGGGCUCUUGUCGGGAAGAGCUGGUAUCUUAUCCUAAUAGAGGAAUCGACUAUAUGCAUGGUGGUGAUCCAUCACCUGAGUUGAUGAACUACGUACAAACAGAUUUGUCCAGUUGCCAGCCUAAGACUACCAAGUGGUGUGCUAAUACUGAUGGGACUAUUAAUUGCCCCCCACCUGAACUUGGUGGUUGUGGUGAUCAUGCCCUUAAGUUGAGACAGAUGUUUCCAAAAGAUUGGUUAAAUAAGCUUGAAAGCGAUGCUCUACAGUUGAGUAAGCAGCUAGAACCUUCUGAUAUUGUCAGCGGAUAUACACAUGAAUGCCCGUGCUGUACUAAACAUGAAAAUGCAAGACAUGCUGCCACCAGAAAUAAUUCAACAGAUAACUGCCUAUACUGUCCAAAAUCAGAUAAUGAGAAAGCAGAAGAUCUAACUCACUUCCAGAGUCACUGGGUUAAAGGAGAACCUGUUAUUGUGCAAGGGGUACUACAGAAAAUGCCACAUUUGAGCUGGGAGCCACCACAUAUGUGGUCUGAAGUACAUGGUGCUAGUACUACCCCUGAUAUGAAAAAUGUGAAGUGUAUUGAUUGUUUAUCUUGUUGUGAGGUCGAGAUACGCACACAGGAUUUCUUCAAUGGAUACUAUUAUGGUCGGGUGUAUCAAAAUGAAUGGCCCGAAAUGCUUAAAUUGAAGGACUGGCCUACUUCAAAUCAUUUUGAAGAGCUUUUGCCUUCGCAUGGAGUGGAAUACAUCAAUUCUUUACCCUUUCAACCGUACACAAAUUUGAAAUCUGGCUUGCUAAGUGUCUCCGCAUUGCUUCCUGAUGACAUUCUAAAGAUUGACAUGGGCCCAAAGUCAUACAUAGCUUAUGGCUAUGCGCAGGAACUUGGCAGAGGAGAUUCUGUUACGAAACUUCAUUGUGAUAUAUCUGAUGCAGUUAAUGUUUUGAUGCAUACUGCAAAAGUUGCCCCUUCUGAAAGACAAGAAAAUGCAAUAAAAAACUUGAAAGCAAGACAUGAGGUACAAGAUGAAAAGGACUGUUGUGGGAAUUUUGCAAUUGAUGGAAGUGAUGCAUGUCAUAAAAACUGUCUGGAUUCAAACCAUACAUCCUCUCCUAACUACAGCAAGGACGAUGAUGGAGGUGCUUUAUGGGAUAUUUUCAGGAGGGAGGAUGUUCCAAAACUGGAAACAUACCUUCGUAAACAUUCCAAGGAAUUUCGCCAUAUAUAUUGUUCUCCAGUUGAAAAGACAUUUAACCCUCUACAUGAUGAAACAUUCUAUCUAACUGAGGAACAUAAAAGGAGACUUAAAGAGGAGCAUGGAAUCGAGCCUUGGACAUUUGUACAAAAACUUGGAGAGGCGGUUUUUAUACCUGCUGGGUGCCCUCAUCAAGUACGGAAUCUCAAGUCUUGCACGAAAAUUGCUAUAGAUUUUGUAUCACCUGAGAAUGUCCAGGAGUGUGUUAAGUUAACUCAGCAAUUCCGCGUGCUUCCUAAGAACCACAGAGCAAAAGAAGAUAAAUUAGAGGUAAGUAUGACCUUUUUUAUGAACAUAAUUAAGACUUUUUCAAUGCACCCAUUUUAA
rnacentral:rRNA from 1 species